rnacentral:sRNA from 2 species
AUAACAGCAAAAUCUGUUAUCCGGGUUAGCGUCCGGCAAAUACUCAACGAGCCCUCAGAAGACGCGCUCAGCGUCUUUUUU